UACAGGGGGUGCAAACGUUGCUCGGAAUCAUUGGGCGUAAAGCGCACGUAGGCGGUUCGUUAUGUCGGAUGUGAAAGCCCUUGGCUUAACCGAGGAAGUGCAUCCGAAACUGGCGAGCUAGAGUACGAAAGAGGAUCGCGGAAUUCCCGGUGUAGAGGUGAAAUUCGUAGAUAUCGGGAGGAACACCGGUGGCGAAGGCGGCUCACUGGCCCGUAACUGACGCUCAUGCACGACAGCGUGGGGAUCAAACAGG
rnacentral:rRNA from 1 species